CAACGUCACCUGCAGCAGUACAUCCACCAGGGAUGGGAUGGAGGAGCAGAGAAACACAAAACCAAGGGGCUGGGCAUUGUAUAGCAACCCAGUGCCAAAGACGCUUGCCCAGCAGCAGAGACCACCACUCCUCCGCCCUUCCUGAGGAAGCCAGGGCAGCAUCUCUCUUGGGAUCUGCUCCAGGUUGGACAUGGACUGACCAUGACUCUAUGAGUGGCUCACUGCCUGCAGUUUCAUUUAGCAUAGGAGAGCUCUGUCUGAAAAAGGAUUACAAGAAAGCCUGGACUAGGAGAAUUUUAGACAUCCUCCUCCAAACUCAGGUCUCCUCAUUCUUUCUGAGGAAUGUCCAAGACACCUUCCAAAAAUGCUCCAAAUCACAGCCUCACUUACCACUUGGAAUGCUUUCAGAUGACAGGGCCUGACGAGGAAGCAGCAAUUACAAAAUGCCUUCCCAGGCUGGGCAGUGAGAAGCAGUGACCCAGCUGUCUGCUCCUCCCGAAGCCUCUGAUGUAUGGCUUGGGUGGUGACACCAUGAGAGAAGGAAACCAAGCAGGUAAGGGCAGUAAGAAACGGUGUCAGGGCAUGGAGGACCUGUAGCUGAUCCUCCUAUUGGUAACUUGCUGAAUGAAGGUAUUAAGUAAGACCUGCUACUAAACCCUAUUCCUGUAGCUAAGAUGCCAUACUGGGAUAUCUAGCCUUCAUUUUACCCCCAGCUUUCUAUGCAUCUUCUGACAGACCUCUAAAGAGAAGACAGGUGUAGUGAGUACACAAAUGAUGGCCCAGAGGUUGAUGUCAUGUAAAGAAAGAAGUACUAAUUGCUUCCAAACUGGGCAAUAGGAGAGCCAAAUAUUCAGCUUGUUGCUUCUUGCUCCUUCAUCCAUUCUGUGUUACCCAUCAUAUGAGGUUACAGCUCUCAGACUUAGCAGGACAAAAACGCAACUGAGAUGAUGCCAAUGAUAGGGGUUUGUGCUGGGCCGGCGUGAGGUAUUCAGGCCAAGCUGCUGCACCUUCUUAGUGACUUAAUCUAGUCUUAAACAGCCUGGCCUGGCAGAAGCUAAAAAGGAAACGAGGGAUUAAGGCCAUGGACUAUUUCUUUUUUUAUUUUUAUGUUUUUAAUCUUUCACACUUGCAGCACACUCCCCUUUUCCUGAGCUUGUCACACCUCCCAAGCUUAGAAAAAGGAGCAGGAGAACCAUUUUGUGCUUUAUAAGCCUCUCUGGCUCCUUCCAGCUCUGCCCUUCCUUCCCUUUGCUGGGCUAAUGCCAAAUUAUGACAUAAAAUCAGACUCUUCACUGCAGUGGAUGCAAGAGGCAUGGUACAUGUGCACCAUGAAAGGACACCGUUGUUGUUAUUCACUGAACCCUGAGCUAGAAAAAGGAGCUCUUGUGUCAUCUUCCAAGUCCCUCCUGCA
ensembl:lncRNA